GAUGAAGAACGUAGCGAAAUGCGAUAAGUAAUGCGAAUUGCAGAAUUUCCGUGAGUCAUCGAAUCUUUGAACGCACAUUGCGCCCCUCGGUAUUCCGUGGGGCAUGCCUGUUCGAGCGUCAUUUACCCCUCAAGCACUGCUUGGUGUUGGGCGUCUGUCCCGCUUCGCGCGCGGACUCGCCCCAAAGGUAUUGGCAGCGGUCGUGCCAGCUUCUCGCGCAGCACAUUGCGCUUCUCGAGGCGGUCGAUCGGCGUCCACGAAGCUCACCUCCACCGUUUGACCUCGGAUCAGGUAGGGAUACCCGCUGAACUUAAGCAUAUCAAUAAGCGGAGGA
rnacentral:misc_RNA from 1 species